GUGGCGGACGGGUGAGUAAUGUCUGGGAAACUGCCUGAUGGAGGGGGAUAACUACUGGAAACGGUAGCUAAUACCGCAUAACGUCGCAAGACCAAAGAGGGGGACCUUCGGGCCUCUUGCCAUCAGAUGUGCCCAGAUGGGAUUAGCUAGUAGGUGGGGUAACGGCUCACCUAGGCGACGAUCCCUAGCUGGUCUGAGAGGAUGACCAGCCACACUGGAACUGAGACACGGUCCGGACUCCUACGGGAGGCAGCAGUGGGGAAUAUUGCACAAUGGGCGCAAGCCUGAUGCAGCCAUGCCGCGUGUAUGAAGAAGGCCUUCGGGUUGUAAAGUACUUUCAGCGGGGAGGAAGGCGAUGAGGUUAAUAAGCUUGUCGAUUGACGUUACCCGCAAAAAAAGCACCGGCUAACUGCGUGCCAGCACCCGCGGUAAUACGGAUGGUGCAAGCGUUAAUCGGAAUUACUGGGCGUAAAGCGCACGCGUGCGGUCUGU
rnacentral:rRNA from 1 species